CUAUAAAGUGCAUUACUACUGCAGCUCCCGCCAACACAGCGCGUGCUAUACCAUUCCAAUUUCGAAUUUUUGAAGUUUUCUUUCUUUUUAUUUCAAGAUGCCUUGCGGAGGUUGCGGUGACAGCUGCAAAUGCAGUACCAGCCAGUGCUGCCAGUCGUGCAAGUGCGAUGCCUCUUGCACCUGCACCUGCAAGAGGACUGAAACCGCUUCGGACACCUCCAAAGCCACUAAGAAGUAGUAGCAAACAUGUCUGCAAAAACAUAACUUAACAUUCACCAAUGAACAGAUAUUCAAACAUAACAUUAGAAAAAUAAAAGAGUUCUUCAUUUAAACUUUUGAAUUUGGUACCGAUUAUCGAACUGUCAUUUGUAAAAAAAAAUGAAAUGAGUGUUUUUCUUUCAUCAAGAAAUGCAUGUUUACUUUCUUGCCGAAACAUCUUUUAACUAUUAAUUAGCCGAUUAAAUAUUCCAAUAAUUACUAUGUGAUAUCUUCCGAAGAUAAUGCGCAAAAAAUGACGCAAUCAUAUUUACUUUUUUUUUGUUAUAUCAUAGCAAGGUGCUUUCAUUAUCUGUCCUCGCGUGUUUUGUGAAAACUUGAGUAUUUCGUCAUUGUAUCGUCUUAAUUUGGUUUUCGAAUAUUACAACUUGUAUUAUUGUAUCUUCAUGACUAUUUUUCAAAUCAUUUCAUUGUUUUAAAAAUAAAAGUCGUGAUGAU